rnacentral:rRNA from 1 species
GCGAACGCUGGCGGCAGGCCUAAAACAUGCAAGUCGAACGCCGUAGCAAUACGGAGUGGCAGACGGGUGAGUAACACGUGGGAACGUGCCUUUUGGUUCGGAACAACACAGGGAAACUUGUGCUAAUACCGGAUAAGCCCUUCGGGGGAAAGAUUUAUCGCCAAAAGAUCGGCCCGCGUCUGAUUAGCUAGUUGGUGGGGUAACGGCCCACCAAGGCUACGAUCAGUAGCUGGUCUGAGAGGAUGAUCAGCCACACUGGGACUGAGACACGGCCCAGACUCCUACGGGAGGCAGCAGUUAGGAAUCUUGGACAAUGGGCGCAAGCCUGAUCCAGCCAUGCCGCGUGAGUGAUGAAGGCCUUAGGGUUGUAAAGCUCUUUCAGCGGGGAAGAUAAUGACGGUACCAGCAGAAGAAGCCCCGGCUAACUUCGU